rnacentral:rRNA from 1 species
GACGAACGCUGGCGGCGUGCUUAACACAUGCAAGUCGAACGGAAAGGCCCUGCUUUUGUGGGGUGCUCGAGUGGCGAACGGGUGAGUAACACGUGAGUAACCUGCCCUUGACUUUGGGAUAACUUCAGGAAACUGGGGCUAAUACCGGAUAGGAGCUCCUGCUGCAUGGUGGGGGUUGGAAAGUUUUGGCGGUUGGGGAUGGACUCGCGGCUUAUCAGCUGGUUGGUGGGGUAGUGGCUUACCAAGGCUUUGACGGGUAGCCGGCCUGAGAGGGUGACCGGCCACAUUGGGGCUGAGAUACGGCCCAGACUCCUACGGGAGGCAGCAGUGGGGAAUAUUGCACAAUGGGCGGAAGCCUGAUGCAGCAACGCCGCGUGCGGGAUGACGGCCUUCGGGUUGUAAACCGCUUUCGCCUGUGACGAAGCGUGAGUGACGGUAAUGGGUAAAGAAGCACCGGCUAACUACGUG